rnacentral:rRNA from 1 species
UACGGAGGGUGCAAGCGUUAUCCGGAUUCACUGGGCUUAAAGGGUGCGUAGGUUGAUGGGGAAGUCAGUGGUGAAAUACUCCGACUCAAUCGGAGAACUGCCGUUGAUACUAUCCAUCUUGAAUACGGUGGAGGCGGGCGGAAUGCGUCAUGUAGUGGUGAAAUACUUAGAUAUGACGCAGAACACCUAUUGCGAAGGCAGCUCGCUACACCGGCAUUGACACUGAGGCACGAAAGCGUGGGGAUCAAACAGG